ACGAACGCUGGCGGCGUGCUUAACACAUGCAAGUCGAACGCUGAAGCUCAGCUUUUGUUGGGUGGAUGAGUGGCGAACGGGUGAGUAACACGUGAGUAACCUGCCCCCUUCUUUGGGAUAACGCCCGGAAACGGGUGCUAAUACUGGAUAUUCACUGGUCUUCGCAUGGGGGUUGGUGGAAAGGGUUUUUCUGGUGGGGGAUGGGCUCGCGGCCUAUCAGCUUGUUGGUGGGGUGAUGGCCUACCAAGGCUUUGACGGGUAGCCGGCCUGAGAGGGUGACCGGUCACAUUGGGACUGAGAUACGGCCCAGACUCCUACGGGAGGCAGCAGUGGGGAAUAUUGCACAAUGGGCGCAAGCCUGAUGCAGCGACGCCGCGUGAGGGAUGGAGGCCUUCGGGUUGUGAACCUCUUUCGCCCAUGGUCAAGCCGCAACAAUGGUUGUGGUGAGGGUAGUGGGUAAAGAAGCGCCGGCUAACUACGUG
rnacentral:rRNA from 1 species